GAAUACUUGCUCGUCUCUGCAGCUGCAGUGACGAUGUAGUUACUCUCACGCACUGGGCAUUAGAGGGAACAUUGGUGUGAGCUCUUAACACUUUUAGAAGAAUCUUCUGUUGGUGGGAAGUGCAAAGCAUGAGUAUAAAUAAGGGUGAUUGUGGUGAGAAUGCUUAAGAGCCAGUAGAUAAAAGACAUCUAUGUUAGUAUCAUCAGGAACCAUUUGAUACUGCUGCAGAUCUGUCAAGCUGUAUUCCACUGAUACCAGGAAAAAAAAGAAAGAAAAAAAAACAUGGACACAAAAUGUUCAAAGCUGGGUUUCACCUUGUACAUCUUCCUCACUUUGGGUGGGUGCGCAACUGUAGGAUAUGGUAUAUGGUUACAAAUGAAGAGCAACACACCUGACUUGUUAAAAACAGUUGAUGAUGCAACACUUACAACGCUCCUGUCCCUGGGGGACCCGAUGCUGAUCACUCUGGGCUGCAUCCUCGCUGUGAUGGGCGGGAUUGGCAGUUUAGGCAUUUUGAAGAAUAAACGCUGGAUGCUCUUGGUUUUUUUUGUCAUUGUGCUCAUCAUCUUCAUCCUCCAUGUCACCGUGGCAGUGUUUGUGGUCCUCCCCAAUUCUGUGAAAGAAAAACCCUUCAGGAGCUUAGAGAGCAAACUGUUACAAACCAUUGAGAAGAACUAUAAAGUUGACUCUUCAAUCACUAGCAUAUGGGAUGAAACCAUGAACAAGCUGCAUUGCUGUGGAUACAAAGGCUAUGAUGACUUCACACAUUCCGCUUGGGUACAGUCGAACUCGUAUCCCGAACAAUGCUGCGGUGAAUAUACAAAUACAAAUUCUGUUUGUAGUAAAAAACAAGCUGAGAAAAAGGAAGUAAACGGCUGCAUUCAUGUCCUGUUGAGCGAAAAAAGUUUUCCCAUUUCUGGAGCUUUGUUCUUUUUGAUCGGGAUUCUAGAGAUUGUUGCCUUGGUCGGUUCCCUGACAGUCUACCGAUGCUUGAGACGCAUACCUGUGAUAAACAACUUUUUAUAAAUGUGUGCAAGUUAUUUGUGUUUUAUUAUUAAUUUUGCAUUUAUUUACAGUGCCUUCAGAGUAAAAAAAAUCACAUUUUGAUUAUGAAAGAUGAUGUGUGAAAAAAAUAUUUUUCUUAAAAAUAUUACUUGAUUUCAGUUUUAUAAUGUCUAUCAAAUAUAACAAAGUGCAUAGUGGCUUCUCAUUUUAUUUACUGUUUCUUCUUUUUUUUUGUAAAGACAAAUCACUUACAAUAUGAUUCUAUUAUUAUAAAGAACAGCUGUUAACCUUUAAUAAUUUCCUUUAACAAUGAUUAAUAAAGGCAUUGCUGAGAGAAAAUCCUGUUGUGGAAUAAUUAAUAGAAAACUGUAUUAAACAUUUUAUUAAAUUAUAUUAAUAACUUUAUUAUUAAGAGAGAUUUCUAUUCCUGUAGUAAACAUACCUUUCUGCUGCUUUAACAUUUCAUUCUGUAGUAAA